rnacentral:rRNA from 1 species
GACGAGGGGUCCAAGCGUUGUUCGGAAUUAUUGGGCGUAAAGCGGGUGUAGGUGGCUCUGUAAGUCAGGAGUGAAAGCCCCGAGCUCAACUUGGGAAGUGCUUUUGAUACUGCAGAGCUUGAGUAUGGGAGAGGUGAGUGGAAUUCCUGGUGUAGCGGUGAAAUGCGUAGAUAUCAGGAGGAACACCUGUGGCGAAAGCGGCUCACUGGACCAUAACUGACGCUGAUGCACGAAGCUAGGGGAGCAAACAGG